rnacentral:rRNA from 1 species
UUUCGCAAUGCCCGAAAGGGUGACGAAGCGACGCCGCGUGCGGGAAGAAGGCCCUAGGGUUGUAAACCGCUGUCAGGAGUUAAGAAAUGUAGGAAUGUUAAUAGCAUUUCUAUUUGACUAAGGCUCCAGAGGAAGCCACGGCUAACUCUGUGCCAGCAGCCGCGGUAAUACAGAGGUGGCAAGCGUUGUUCGGAAUUAUUGGGCGUAAAGAGCACGUAGGCGGCCCUGCCAGUCAGUUGUGAAAGCCUUCCGCUCAACGGAAGAACGGCAGCUGAUACUACAGGGCUAGAGUACGGGAGGGGAGAGUGGAACUUCUGGUGGAGCGGUGAAAUGCGUAGAUAUCAGAAGGAACGUCGGCGGCGAAAGCGACUCUCUGGACCGAAACUGACGCUGAGUGUGCGAAAGCUAGGGGAGCAAACGGGAUUAGAUACCCCGGUAGUCCUAGCCGUAAACGAUGGGCACUAAGUAGAGGGGUUUUA